rnacentral:lncRNA from 1 species
GAAAUACAAGAUAAUGAUGACUCCUUCAAGUUUGAACUCUAUUAAUUCUAGAGAUUGUAUUGUUUAAAUAUGACUUGAGAUUUGAGAUUCUAUAAUUAUUAGUUUUUGUUUUUGUUUUUUUGGUGUUAAUGCAAAAGAUGGUACUUUCAAGUAUAUGAACGAAGUUAUUUUUGUUUUGAUCAAGAUAUAACACCAUUUUAUAAGUUUU